UACGUAGGGACCAAGCGUUGUUCGGAUUUACUGGGCGUAAAGGGCGCGUAGGCGGCGCAAUAAGUCACUUGUGAAAUCUCCGGGCUUAACUCGGAGCGGCCAAGUGAUACUGUUGUGCUAGAGUGCAGAAAGGGCAAUCGGAAUUCUCGGUGUAGCGGUCAAAUGCGUAGAUAUCGAGAGGAACACCUGAGGCGAAGGCGGGUUGCUAGGCUGACACUGACGCUGAGGCGCGAAAGCUAGGGUAGCAAACGGG
rnacentral:rRNA from 1 species